CGAGGCCCGGAGCCUCGCAGUUUGGCCAGCCAUGUUCCUCUCCGCGGCGCUACGGGCCCGCGCGGCCGGCCUCGCCGCCCACUGGGGAAAACAUAUAAGAAAUCUGCAUAAGACAGCUGUUCAGAAUGGAGCUGGAGGAGCCUUAUUUGUGCACAGAGAUACUCCUGAGAAUAACCCAGAAACUCCAUUUGAUUUCACACCAGAAAACUAUAAGAGGAUAGAGGCCAUUGUGAAAAACUACCCGGAAGGGCAUAAAGCAGCAGCUGUGCUUCCAGUUCUGGAUUUAGCCCAGAGACAGAAUGGAUGGCUGCCCAUCUCUGCUAUGAACAAGGUUGCAGAAAUUUUACAGGUACCUCCAAUGAGAGUGUAUGAAGUAGCAACUUUUUAUACAAUGUAUAAUUGAAAGCCUGUUGGAAAGUAUCACAUUCAGGUCUGCACUACUACGCCUUGCAUGCUCCGAAACUCAGACAGCAUACUGGAAGCCAUUCAGAAAAAACUUGGAAUAAAGGUUGGAGAGACUACACCUGACAAGCUUUUCACUCUUAUAAAAGUGGAAUGUUUAAGGGCCUGUGUAAAUGCACCAAUGGUUCAAAUAAAUGACAACUACUAUGAGGAUCUGACACCUAAAGAUAUUGAAGAAAUUAUUGAUGAACUCAAGGCUGGCAAAAUCCCCAAACCUGGGCCAAGGAGUGGACGCCUCUCCUGUGAGCCAGCUGGAGGUCUUACCUCUUUGACUGAACCACCGAAAGGACCUGGGUUUGGUGUGCAAGCAGGUCUUUAAUUUAUAUCCAGCUGUAAAUAUGUCAGUGGGGAAAUAAAAUAUGAAUCUC